rnacentral:lncRNA from 1 species
AUGGGGCAUUAGAUUGUCUAAAUUGAGUUGAAAAAUGGCCCUCUCCACCACGAAGAUGAGUACGUCAUCCACGGUGCCGACAGCAGGCGUCAGAGGGAGCAGCUGCUGUUGGCAGCUGCUAGGUGGACUAGUACCGCUCCAAACGGUUGUUACAGGACGCCUGCGCGUUUCGAACCCGAGCAACUCCCGUCGAAGCAUUUGGCCCCUUCCAUCUUGGCAACUGCGUGAGUG